rnacentral:lncRNA from 1 species
AGACCCUUUUAUCAAAUACGGUCUCUCUCUGACAGGGGCUGGGUUACUAGGACAUGGACCUAACUCUUGGGGGUAUCACCACUCACCCCACUCCACCAGCCCCCGCCUUUUCUGACAUUGCCCAUUUCCUGAAAGCUCACUCCCUGCCUAGCUCUGAGCCCAAGCCCCAGCGGAACCCCAUGAAGCAGAGGGGGAAACGGAGGCACAGGGAGUUCAGCCGAUGCCCAGGGGACCAAGUGGGGCCAAGGUUUGAACCUGGCUUUCCGAGUGGCCCCAACACAGUAGCCGCUGGGUAUUGGCCUCCCUCCAGUUUACAGGAAACAAGGGACUCUCACGCCCACGCCUCUCGGCCGAGGGCCAAACUGACAGUGAGUCACCCCCACUCCACAGGCCAAGAAGCUUGAAGCAGCUCAUCGAGGGGGACCAGACAAACGGUGGGGCCAGGGAGGGCUUCCUGGAGGCUCAGCUUGCUCCAGUGUCAACAGGGGAGCAAAUCCCACCUCCCGCUGCUCUCUCGGGAGGACUCAGCGAGACCCUGGAAGGAGGCAGCUUGGCACACAGGCCCCUGGCAAUCACCACCUCCCUGGUUAUUAGCAGGCCUGGCCCAGCCCACACAGCUGCCCACCCAGCCUCUGACCCCAGCCACAGAAAGGGCCCAUUAUGACAUCACAGGCCAGGAAUUAUGUUAUUAGCCUGGGAAGGAGGCUGGCCUCAGGAACAAAGGGCUCAUUGUCAUGCAAAUGAACGACUCCGGAGGAAGAGGGCAGUUCCUCCACUCUGGGGUGCCCCUCCUGCCCUCUAACUUCUAAGCCACACUGGAAACUGACCCCCAACCUUCAGAAGUGUGGGCAUCUCUGGGCCUCUGCUCUGGGCUAAAUGAGGCGCACUCUCUCAGCCUGGGAAACGGGCCCCUGCCAGUUCUGAGCCAGAUCCCCAGAAAACAGGACCCGCCUCGGAAGAUAGGGAUAGUAGAGGGACUUUUGGGGAUGAAACAGGAUGAUCCCCUUAACAUGCUAAGCAUGACCUUGAGCAAAGAAGCAACUGCCUUGGAAAUGCCAUUCAGUUGGUAAUACUGCAGGCCUGCAGCUGUGUGUCUUUGAGCAAGCUGCCUACCCUCUCUGUGCCUUAUCAGGAGAGGGUGACUCUGUGCCGACUUUACAAGGCUAUGGGAAGGACACAAUGAACUAAGACUCCAGUGAUCACAACCAGUCCAUGCUGAGCUGCCUCGUCACAAAGGCCCUGGUGCUGACUUCUGUUCUGAACCUCACCCAGGACUCUUCUCCACCGGGUAGGAAAAUCGAGUCCCUGAGGACUUUGGCAAAGGUCAGGGGCAGCCACGACACAGCUCUGUGGCCAACCCAAGUGGACACCAAGGCCCUGGGGGUGACAAGGGGACAUGGAUGAGAACCCCCCCGCCUUCGGAGGCCAUUCUCGAGGUCCCAGGAGAGGCCCCAUGACAAUGAGACAGCGGGCAGCUGGUGCGGGGGGCCUGGACGCCCGGGGAACUCCCCACUGGCUCCUGCUGGCCCAAGAGCGGAGGCCCUGAGCCAGUCACUGGCCCAGCAUCCGGUGUCACUUACAAACACAGGACGGCUGCCACCUUCUGCAGGAGAACUGGCCCUCCCGCGCCAGUCCCCAGGCCACACCAGGCACUGUGGGGGGUGCCUGGCCCAGGGCUGGCACGGAGGGGCUCAGGCUGAGUGGGAGACGGGGCAGAACAGGCAGGCAUGGGGGGAGACCUGGGGAUCCCAAACAAAGGCAGAGCCUGGGAAGCACCCACUCGACCUACCUCCCAUUAUCUGGACCCAGGUUUCUACAAAACAUGAGAGCUCUCUGCAAAGAAGAAAAGAAAAAUGGACGGAACUCGAACUUAAAUCCAACCUUGUGGUUACAAUUACGGAGGCCCACCCAGGCCAGCACUGUGCGGGCCCCUUCAGGCUUCUCUCAGGCUCUCCCGAGACACACCGGCAGGCUGCAGUGCUACCACUGUGGUAAAGGACAAGGAAACUGAGGCUCUGUGGGAUUCCGGGACUUGCCCAAGGUCACACCAUCCUUGAGGGGUCGAGCCAGGACUGGAACCUCAGUCCGGCCACUACAACUUCAUAAAUACCAUCGCCCUGAGAUGCUGAAAUCCCAGGGGCCCCCCACCCUCAGACCAGGUGCCGGUAUUGUCAGCAUCGAGAAAACAAAGUGCCAGUGAAUUAUCAA